rnacentral:rRNA from 1 species
GACGUAGGGCGCGAGCGUUGUCCGGAUUUAUUGGGCGUAAAGAGCUCGUAGGCGGUUCGAUAAGUCGGGUGUGAAAACUCUGGGCUCAACUCAGAGACGCCACCCGAUACUGUUGUGACUUGAGUCCGGUAGGGGAGUAUGGAAUUCCCAGUGUAGCGGUGAAAUGCGCAGAUAUUGGGAGGAACACCAGUGGCGAAGGCGGUACUCUGGGCCGGUAUUGACGCUGAGGCGCGAAAGCUAGGGGAGCAAACGGG